AUUACAUUAUCAUGUACCUCUUAUCAUUUUAUUUUUAUUAUUUUGAGAGAAUUUUAACUUAGGUGCUGCAUCUUGUUGCAGUAUCCUGUUUAUUUUGCAUUCGAGGAUGAUAACAUUGAUGCUGUGUUAACUGAUAUCAAGAAGAAUGAUGUCACUGGUCAGCCUGCUACAGCAACAACUGGCGGGUGAGUUCAAAUCAGUGAAUAAAGCUUUCACUACUUUAACUAAAUUUUGUAAAAUUUUCUAGAUGAUCAAAGAACUUUAGGACUUGACCCAUUGGAUCUUACAUAUGGGAUUACCUUGCAUAUUUCCAACUU
rnacentral:misc_RNA from 1 species